AUGAACGCUAGCGGCAGGCUUAACACAUGCAAGUCGAGGGUAUAGUUCUUCGGAACUAGAGACCGGCGCACGGGUGCGUAACGCGUAUGCAAUCUACCUUCACAAAGGGAUAGCCCAGAGUAAAUUUGGAUUAAUACCUUAUAGUAAUACGACUUGGCAUCAAGAUGUAUUUAAAGAUUUAUCGGUGAAAGAUGAGCAUGCGUCCCAUUAGCUUGUUGGUAAGGUAACGGCUUACCAAGGCAACGAUGGGUAGGGGUCCUGAGAGGGAGAUCCCCCACACUGGUACUGAGACACGGACCAGACUCCUACGGGAGGCAGCAGUGAGGAAUAUUGGACAAUGGGCGCAAGCCUGAUCCAGCAAUGCCGCGUGCAGGAUGAAGCAUCUAUGGUGUGUAAACUGCUUUUGUACGGGAAGAAACACUCCUACGUGUAGGAGCUUGACGGUACCGUAAGAAUAAGGAUCGGCUAACUCCGUG
rnacentral:rRNA from 1 species